AUUGAACGCUGGCGGCAUGCCUUACACAUGCAAGUCGAACGGUAACAGGUCUUCGGAUGCUGACGAGUGGCGAACGGGCGAGUAAUACAUCGGAACGUGCCUAGUCGUGGGGGAUAACUACUCGAAAGAGUGGCUAAUACCGCAUGAGAUCUACGGAUGAAAGCAGGGGAUCGCAAGACCUUGUGCUACUAGAGCGGCCGAUGGCAGAUUAGGUAGUUGGUGGGAUAAAAGCUUACCAAGCCGACGAUCUGUAGCUGGUCUGAGAGGACGAUCAGCCACACUGGGACUGAGACACGGCCCAGACUCCUACGGGAGGCAGCAGUGGGGAAUUUUGGACAAUGGGGGCAAGCCUGAUCCAGCAAUGCCGCGUGCAGGAUGAAGGCCUUCGGGUUGUAAACUGCUUUUGUACGGAACGAAAAGCCCCGGGUUAAUACCCUGGGGUCAUGACGGUACCGUAAGAAUAAGCACCGGCUAACUACGUGCCAGCCGCCGCCGUAA
rnacentral:rRNA from 1 species